GGGUCGGUGCCCGAGUGGUUAAAGGGAGCGGAUUGUAAAUCCGUUGCGUAACGCUACGUUGGUUCGAAUCCAACCCGGCCCA
rnacentral:tRNA from 1 species